GAUGAACGCUGGCGGCGUGCCUAAUACAUGCAAGUCGAGCGAACGGACGAGAAGCUUGCUUUUCUGAUGUUAGCGGCGGACGGGUGAGUAAUACGUGGCUAACCUACCUAUAGGACUGGGAUAACUUCAGGAAACCGAAGCUAAUACCGGAUAAUAUUUUGAACCGCAUGGUUCAUCAGUGAAAGACGGUCUUGCUGUCCCUUAUAGAUGGUACCGCGCUGCAUUAGCUAGUUGGUAAGGUAACGGCUUACCAAGGCAACGAUGCAUAGCCGACCUGAGAGGGUGAUCAGCCACACUGGAACUGAGACACGGUCCAGACUCCUACGGGAGGCAGCAGUGGGGAAUCUUCCACAAUGGGCGAAAGCCUGACGGAGCAACGCCGCGUGAGUGAUGAAGGUCUUCGGAUCGUAAAACUCUGUUAGUAGGGAAGAACAUAUGUGUAAGUAACUGUGCACAUCUUGACGGUACCUAAACAGAAAGCCACGGCUAACUACGUG
rnacentral:rRNA from 1 species